rnacentral:rRNA from 1 species
AACGCUGGCGGCGUGCCUAACACAUGCAAGUCGAACGAAGCAUCCGCCCGAAGAAGAGGAGUGCUUGCACAAAUCGGACUCAAUUGGGAUGACUUAGUGGCGGACGGGUGAGUAACGCGUGGGUAACCUGCCGUGUGCAGGGGGAUAACAGUUAGAAAUGACUGCUAAUACCGCAUAAGCGCACACUGUCGCAUGACAGAGUGUGAAAAGCCGAGACGGCACACGAUGGACCCGCGUCUGAUUAGCCAGUUGGCAGGGUAACGGCCUACCAAAGCGACGAUCAGUAGCCGGCCUGAGAGGGUGAACGGCCACAUUGGGACUGAGACACGGCCCAAACUCCUACGGGAGGCAGCAGUGGGGAAUAUUGGGCAAUGGGGGGAACCCUGACCCAGCAACGCCGCGUGAGGGAAGAAGGUUUUCGGAUCGUAAACCUCUGUCUUUGGUGAAGAAGAAAGUGACGGUAGCCAAGGAGGAAGCCACGGCUAACUACGUGCC